rnacentral:rRNA from 1 species
UGGGGAAGUAUUGGACAAUGGGCGCAAGCCUGAUCCAGCCAUACCGCGUGGGUGAAGAAGGCCUUCGGGUUGUAAAGCCCUUUUGUUGGGAAAGAAAUCCAGCUGGCUAAUACCCGGUUGGGAUGACGGUACCCAAAGAAUAAGCACCGGCUAACUUCGUGCCAGCAGCCGCGGUAAUACGAAGGGUGCAAGCGUUACUCGGAAUUACUGGGCGUAAAGCGUGCGUAGGUGGUCGUUUUAAGUCCGUUGUGAAAAGCCCUGGGCUCAACCUGGGAACUGCAGUGGAUACUGGGCGACUAGAGUGUGGUAGAGGGUAGCGGAAUUCCUGGUGUAGCAGUGAAAUGCGUAGAGAUCAGGAGGAACAUCCAUGGCGAAGGCAGCUACCUGGACCAA